UACAGAGGUGGCGAGCGUUGUUCGGAAUUACUGGGCGUAAAGCGCGCGUAGGCGGCCGCGUGUGUCGGGCGUGAAAUCCCACGGCUCAACCGUGGAAGUGCACUCGAAACUGCGCAGCUGGAGUCUCGGAGAGGAAGGCGGAAUGCUUGGUGUAGAGGUGAAAUUCGUAGAUAUCAAGCGGAACACCGGUGGCGAAGGCGGCCUUCUGGACGAUGACUGACGCUGAAGCGCGAAAGCGUGGGGAGCAAACAGG
rnacentral:rRNA from 1 species